ACAUUUUUUUUCUUCCUUUAAGGAAAGAUGAAGGUUUAAUCUGAAUCUUAUUAGAGUUGCUACUGGUCCCUGGGAAUCUUUCCCUUUGGCUUCCUGGAGGCUGUGGGCUUUGCUCUGCCUCUGGGGUCUUUAUCUCCCUGUCCCCCAGUGGGUCAUAACAAGGGCUGCCUUGCUCCAUGUGAUUGUCAGCAUGCUGCCUCCUCAUCCUCCACACAGGCUAGAAAUAAUAAAGAUCCACUGCUGGCCCUUCCCUGGCUGCUACUCCUCAGAAAAUAACCAAGGUUCAUUUCGUGUCACUACUGAGGAGCCUCAAGAGAUCAGAGAUGGAGGGGGUGAGCUUUGAGGCAGAUGUCUCCUGGCUCCACCCCCUCAGAGGUCACCUGGAGUUGUCAUCUCUCUGGACUAGAGGUCUCUUCCCAUGUGUCCUGUCACUUCCCUACAUCGCAGGACCUUCCUGGACCUGUCCCUCACUUUUGUGGAUAGACUGCUAAUUAAACACUCCUCAAAUUAUUCUGCUGGG
rnacentral:lncRNA from 1 species